rnacentral:rRNA from 1 species
UACGUAGGGUGCGAGCGUUGUCCGGAAUUAUUGGGCGUAAAGAGCUUGUAGGCGGUUUGUCGCGCCUGCUGUGAAAAUCCGGGGCUCAACCCCGGACUUGCAGUGGGUACGGGCAGACUAGAGUGUGGUAGGGGAGACUGGAAUUCCUGGUGUAGCGGUGAAAUGCGCAGAUAUCAGGAGGAACACCGGUGGCGAAGGCGGGUCUCUGGGCAGUAACUGACGCUGAGGAGCGAAAGCAUGGGGAGCGAACAGGAUUAGAUACCCCGGUAGU